GGGUAGAUGAAUUUUGCUUAUGUGAUUGUGGCGAGGGACAGUGCAACGUACGCGUCGCGAAGACAACAAUGAACUUUAAUCAUUGUUUCUAGUGUUGUCCUAAAUCCAAUGGGCCCCUUGAUCGAGGUUGCAAUUUUUUUCGAUGGAUUUAUGGAGACAGCAAUUUGACAAGUGCGCAGUCUUUCGAUUGUGGAACAAGCAAUUCAAUGGUUGGAGCUCAGUCUUCUCUAUUAGCACCUUCCUCUGAUUUUGUGAAAGGUUACUUGGAAAGAGCAAUCAAAGGUGAAGAGGAAAAGUCUAGAGUACUGAAAAAUGAAAUGGAUGUGUCUGAGGAAAAGCGAAGGAUAUAUACCGAUAUCCUGGAGGCCAUUAAUAACAUAGACAUAAAUAAAGGUGGUAGUUAGAGGGUAAUGACCAAUUAUUGGGAACUUGUAAGACAUAUGGCAUAAACAUGGGAAUAUUUGCAUUUUAAUCUACUAUUAUUGGUUGACAUUUCUUGUUUUGUAAAAUUAUGAUGUAAGUUCGAGAUAAGGAAAUUGGUAGUUGUAUGUCUGAUUAAAAUGAAGGGUCAUGAGUUUCUGAAGAAAGUAACAAAAGUGGAAUUAUUUUCAUUAAAAUUUCUUAUAAACAUCAUAUUCUGUCA